rnacentral:tRNA from 1 species
GCCUGGGUAGCUCAGCAGUUGAGCAUCUGCCUUCGACUCAGGAUGUGAUCCUGGGAUCUGGGAUCAAGUCCCACAUCAGGCU